CCUACGGUGGGCAGCAGUGGGGGAUAUUGCACAAUGGGGGAAACCCUGAUGCAGCGACGCCGCGUGUGGGAAGACGGUCCUCUGGAUUGUAAACCACUGUCCCCAGGGACGAAGAUGACGGUACUUGAGGAGGAAGCCCCGGCUAACUACGUGCCAGCAGCCGCGGUAAUACGUAGGGGGCUAGCGUUAUCCGGAAUUACUGGGCGUAAAGGGUGCGUAGGUGGUUUCUUAAGUCAGAGGUGAAAGGCUACGGCUCAACCGUAGUAAGCCUUUGAAACUGGGAAACUUGAGUGCAGGAGAGGAGAGUGGAAUUCCUAGUGUAGCGGUGAAAUGCGUAGAUAUUAGGAGGAACACCAGUUGCGAAGGCGGCUCUCUGGACUGUAACUGACACUGAGGCACGAAAGCGUGGGGAGCAAACAGGAUUAGAUACCCGAGUAGUC
rnacentral:rRNA from 1 species